rnacentral:rRNA from 1 species
CCUACGGGUGGCAGCAGUGAGGAAUAUUGGUCAAUGGGCGCGAGCCUGAACCAGCCAAGUAGCGUGAAGGAUGACUGCCCUACGGGUUGUAAACUUCUUUUAUAAAGGAAUAAAGUGCGGCACGUGUGCCCUUUUGUAUGUACCUUAUGAAUAAGGAUCGGCUAACUCCGUGCCAGCAGCCGCGGUAAUACGGAGGAUCCGAGCGUUAUCCGGAAUUAUUGGGGUUAAAGGGAGCGUAGAUGGGAUGUUAAGUCAGUUGGGAAAGGUUGCGGCUCAACCGUAACAGUGCAAUUGAUACUGGCAGGCUGGAGUAGAGUAGAGGUAGGCGGAAUUCGUGGUGUAGCGGUGAAAUGCUUAGAUAUCACGAAGAACACCGAUUGCGAAGGCAGCAUACUAAACUGCAACUGACAUUGAGGCACGAAAGUGUGGGUAUCAAACAGGAUUAGAUACCCCGGUAGUC